AGGUGUAGUUCAGUAUCGUCUCGUUCAAAAGAUGGGAUGGCUGGUUUGACGAACCGCUACAUCUAUUAUCCACAAAUCAAACUUUUACUUUCAAAUGGUGAAAACUAAUAAAUUAAAAGAAAAAGUGUUCGUCAGUCGUGGUAGAUAGGUCACUACUUAGUCAUGAGUUGUUCAUGGCCGUAAAGGGUCUCAAACCCAAUACGAUUGUUUUGAAAGUUCUCUAAUCCCGCAAGGAUGAGUUUGGGUGGCAACCUAGAAGAGUGAUGAGUAAGAAUAGAGUAUAUUACGACUUUAGGAUUGGUUAAUCUAAUUAACCGUGACUGAGAGGUACUUCUCAAAAGGAAGUGGAAAUCGGAGGAAAUCAAAAUAAUCUCCUGUAAAGUCUCUCACAAGAUGGUUUAUUCUCAACCU
rnacentral:sRNA from 10 species